GCUUCUGAGCCACCGAGAGCUCACAGGACUGGAUCUGACAUUCCUGAUGCAUCACACCGGAACCCUCUUCCUGCAGAUACUGUAAUCUGUCCUGUCCUUGAUGAUCUGAUUCCAUGCCAUCUGUCCAACUUCAACUCCAACACUCACCCUCAGUUUUUAACCCAGAAUCAGCUGUCUCAUCCCCAGAGAACAACACCCAGCAUCUUCUGUUUGGUGUCCCUAUCCUGAGGAACCUCUUCCCCUAGGACUAGAUGUGCUGACAUGCAAGAAUGCUAUUCAAACCACAUGGAUCUUUUACAUAACAAGAUGCAAAAGAGGUUUGUACCACAUGAAUCUCACUGAGUCUGGAACACAUAAUUUCCCUGGAUUUCACACAUUAGAAAUAAUUGGGUGUAUAAAACAUAUGAAUUCACAUCACAAUCUGAGUCCAUUUGUCUCCCCAAACCUGUUUCACUUCAACUUUCUUUGUGAAUAAUUUUUUCCCCAUUUUCACCUAUUACCCUAGGCAAAGCUGAGAGGUUCACAGCCCUUAGAUGAAUUUGCUGCCUAAGCAGACUCAAAGCCAACUUAGAAGUCUUAAACAACAAAUUUUUGGCCACUAAAGUUUUAAAUGGUCCUGAAGUAGAGACUAGAGAAAAAAUUCACUAAUCAUUAUUGACAGUGAAGUGACUUUCCUUCUUUAAUGGGAAAGAAAUGAUUGGCAUGAAGCAACUUUGUUUCUCAGUGACUCGCUAGAGAAUUAAAUAACUGAAGCAUCAAACAACAAUUUUCUUUGAAGAUGACCUUUUUCAUAUUAAAUGAAAAGCUGAAGAGCUAGUCUCAAAGGAAAAGUAAAUGAAUAAUCUGUGAGGGCAACUAUUCCUUCCUGAGUAGACAGUUAAAAAAGAGAGAGAGAGAGGGAGACUAAAAUAUAAUAGUAAACAUCACAGACUGUUGCAUUACAAAUUAAGUGCAUCUUCCAUUUUCAGGGUAACACUGAGAGUCUACCACGAAUCAGACACUAGAAUAGGAGCUCUUCAAGAUGGUUAUCAAAAAACUUAAACACUCAUCAACAUAAUUUAAAUAGUUGUUUUCUAACGUAGCAGACAUCAGGGUCACAUGGAGGGCUUUCAAAAUACAUCACUGGGCUCCAUCCCUAGUGUUUCUGAUUCUGUAGGUCUUGAUCCAGGAGAAUUUGCAUUUCUUUUUGUUUGUUUGUUUUGUUUUUUUCUUUUACUUUAAGUUCUGGGAUACAUGUGUAGAACGUGCAAGUUUGUUAUAUAAGUAUACAUGUGCCAUGGUGAUUUGCUGCACCUAUAGACCCAUCAUCUAGGUUUUAAGCCCCGCAUGCAUUAGGUAUUUGCCCUAAUGCUCUCCCACACUUUGUCCUCCAACCUCCAACAGGCCCCAGUGUGUGAUGUUCCCCUCCCUGUGUCCAUGUGUUUUCAUUGUUCAACUCCCACUUAUGAGUGAGAACAUGUGGUGUUUGGUUUUCUGUUCUUGUGUUAGUUUGCUGAGAAUGAUGACUUCCAGCUUCAUCCAUGUCCCUGCAAAGGACAUGAUCGCAUUCUUUUCUAUGGCUGCAUAGUAUUCCAUGGUUUAUAUAUGCCACAUUUUCUUUAUCCAGUCUAUCACUGAUGGGCAUUUGGGAUGGUUCAAAGUCUUUGUUAUUGUAAAUAGUGCUGCAAUAAACAUACGUGUACGUAUGUCUUUAUAGUAGAAUGAUUUAUAAUCCUUUGGGUAUAUACCUAGUAAUGGGAUUGCUGGGUCAAAUGGUAUUUCUGCUUCUAGAUCCUUGAGGAAUUGCCACACUGUCUUCCACAAUGGUUGAACUAAUUUACACUCCCACCAACAGUGUAAAGUGUUUCUAUUUCUCCACAGCCUUGCCAUCAUCUAUUGUUUCCUGACUUUUAAUAAUCAUCAUUCUGACUGGCGUGAGAUGGUAUCUCAUUGUGGUUUUGAUUUGCAUUUCUCUAAUGACCAGUGAUGAUGAGCCAUAUGCAGAAAACAGAAACUGGACCCCUUCCUUACUCCUUAUACAAAAAUUAACUCAAGAUGGAUUGAAGACUUAAAUGUAAAACCCAAAACCAUAGAAACCCUGGAAGAAAACCUAGGCAAUACCAUUCAGGACAUAGGCAUGGCCAAAGACUUCAUGACUAAAACACCGAAAGCAAUUGCAACAAUAACCAACAUUGACAAAUGAGAUCUAAUUAAACUAAAGAGCUUCUGCACAGCAAAAGAAACUAUCAUCAGAGUGAAAUGGCAACCUACAGAAUGGGAGAAAAUUUUUGCAAUCUACCCAUCUGAUAAAGGUCUAAUAUCUAGAAUCUACAAGGAACUUAAACAAAUUUACAAGAAAAAACAAACAACCCCAUCAAAAAGUGGGUGAAGGAUAUGAACAGACACUUCUCGAAGACAUGUAGGCAGCCAACAAAAAUCUGAGAAUUUGAAUUUCUAACAAGUUCCUGGGUAAUGCUACUGGUCUGCAGACUGCACUCUGAGAACAGCUGCAAGAUGAGGCACACUGACACAAAAUAAUUAAAAAAACAGGAAUUUCUAACCACUUACAAUGACCAAAUGUGAGAUGCAUAGAUUCUGAAAUGAUUAUCUGGGGAAUUGUAAACUCCAGCCAUGCUGUCCACCAUCUUGGGGCUUUUCAGAGAAUAUAGCCAAAGGCAAUAUGCCUGAAAUGUGGGUACUUUUGACAUUGGAUUUGCCAACAGGUCUUUUCUCCAUGAGGACCUCAGCACCCAACAUCUCCCCUCCCAGGUUCAACCUCAGACUAGUUACAAAGCUCCAAAAUGCGAAUGUCAAUGAAGUUGUCUAACUAUUUAAAGGCUAGGAAUGCACAUAUAAAGCAGUCACAAAAUAGUUUUACUUUUCUAAAUAAAAUAAUUGAGUAUCAUCCUUUUGUUAAGUACCUGCUCUUUACUAAAAUUUCAUGAUCUCAUUUUAAAACUUUACCCCUCUGGGCUAAAAAUCAGUGCAGAAGAUGAGAUGCUAUAACCUUUGAUUUAGCCUAAUAAAACAGUAACAAAUAACAUAUUGAGUGGGUGGUUAAAUCUGAUAAUAUUUUGUGCUGAAUUUUCUGUAGUAAUUCAAUUAAAAAUCCUAUUGGCCAGCCACCAGAAAGUAUACAGAUCACCAAAGUUUUAUAGCAUUCCAUAUUUAUUCUUAAAAUAGCCUAUAUUAAUUUGGUGCCUUUACUUACUAACUUAAAUACCUCAAGUAGAGUUUCUUCCAAAUAUAAUUUAGAAUAACCAUUUAUAUUUGUGCUGUUUAAAAAUCUCUGUUGGCUCAUGCCACUGCAGUCCUUAAAAUUCCCAUUAAAGAGAGAAAAAAACUAAUUAGAAAGAGAAUAUAUUACAAAAGCUGUAUUAAUAUGACCCCCACAAUAUUUCUUAAAGCUUCUGAAGAACCAAUUUACUCUGGCUCCUCUAUGCUUUCCUUCAAUUAGUAGGGCCCCCAGAAAAGCAAAAUUGCCACUCAAAGAAAGCUGAAGCCAUUCAGAAUCACUGAAUUGUUUGGUUGCAUUUAAUCCUGCCAGGGUUCCUAGCCAAGGAGUCAAUGAUCCUAGGCUCUCUUCAUGCCUUUUCCAAUGACAGCCUUGAAGCAUUCCAGAAAACUUUAGCACUUCCUUUUUUAACCAAAAAUUGCACAUAACUCUCCCAAAUUCUUAGUCUAUAAUUUCUCAUAAAACUCUUUGAGAUCCUCUUGUGAAGACAAAUGGCAAGGAUUAUUGGACUUUAAAUUGUGAUCCUUCAAUAUUAUAUGCACUAGAUCAUAACUCUAUGGCUUUGGUUCCCUCAUAAAACUAAACCACAGAGUCAUUCUUUUCAUUUCAAGCUUAACAGCACACAGGCCCAUGGGUGAAGCAAUAUAAACACUCUGGAGUAAUUUCUCAAAACCAAAUCUCUUCUCAAAAACAGACUAGCAACUCAGUGGUGUGUAAUCUCUCCUCUGAACCUGUGAAGUUUGUAGUUCUCAGGCCACCCAAGUAGAAUAAUGAGAAUAAUGUUCAUGUGUUAACGUGGGGCAGGCCUAAGAAUUUUCUGUAAUUACAGAACUGGGGGUUAGAACCAGUUCUACCAUUCUGUUGCCCCAGAUAAGUCACCAAGUCAGGUGAUUCCUUUUGGGGGAGAAAAGUGAAGUCUCAGGUUUACAGAUUUUUAUUUUUUACCUUAGUUCACAGAAUUUGUUUAAUCGAAAUCACUGGUUUAUGACACGCUCUGGCCAUUGGUCCAUGCAUGGCCCUCUUUUUUAAUUUAUUACUUUAAAUUGGCAUUUUUAACACACAUACUCUAAGGUAUAUAGCUGAGAAAAAAUUUUGCAAAAUAUGCACUGAAGUAUUCAUAUAAAUGUUCAUAGUUGUACUAUUACAAUAGCAAAAACCUGGAAAAAAUCAGAUGUCCAUUGUCAGGAUACUGUAGUAGACUUUCACAGGGGAAUAGUAAACAAGAGUCAAAUGAAUAAACUACAGCUAUUCACAACAAUAUGGAGUUAUUUAAUGUUUCUGAGUCUCUGUUUUGACCUCCUAAAUGAAGACAAUAUCAUUUACCUUAUUAUUUUCUGAAAAUAAAGCAGAUACUGUAGGCAAAAACCCUUAGAAAAUUAUAACUAGUAAAUGUUACUAUAACUAGUUAAUGUCACUUAUUUUCCUCCAUAUUCCCGAUCACUUCUCAGGUUGUACAAGAAUAAUCUGGAAACAUCACACUAAAGAAGAGGAAAGCAGUAUAAUCUGGAGGACUCAAAUUUAGAGUCACACCAAAGGGAUCCAAAUCCCUGAUUCAGCAAUUAUUUUCUGUGUGAACUCAGGUAAAUUAACCUCUCCAAACCUCAGCUUUCCCUCAUGUGAAGUAGGAAUAAAAUUAGUAACUAUUUAAUUGGACUUAAAUGAAGUAACCCCAGUUCUUAUUAGCACACUGCCUGAUACACCAUAAUAAGUGCUCACAUCAGUGAUAGGGUUAUAUUAACAGGGAUCCCUUUUACAUUUGUCAAGUGAACAGAGUUGCUUUCCCCUGCCCUUACCUUCCCCUCAGUCUCAACACAAUACACACACACACACACACACACACACACACACACUCUCUCUCUCUCUCAUGCACAAAUAUAUUUGCUUUGCUUUUUCUUUUCUUGCUCUUCAACUCCUCAUAUCUAUAAUAUAAUUGAGAGCAGUAAAUAAGCACAAUAAUUAGACCCGAGGUUUCUGCCUUGGACAUCAGGCAAUAAAUAGGCACAAUUCAGUCUAAUUAAAGCACCCUUAAAUGUGAAGUUACCCUAAGAACUUUUCUCAGAAUUUCAAUUGAAAGUGAGGUUCAUUUGCAUCUUAUUACUUAAAAGAACUGCAAAUAGGGAAAGGCAACAAUUUCCACAAUCCACAUAGAGUAAUAAAAAGUAUGGGAGUAAUUCUUUAAAUGUAAACCUAAUUGAAACAAAAAUGAUUAAAUGAUUGUAUUUAAAACAAACAUUUAGAAGGACAUGCUUUACAUUUGUUGAAUUUGGUAAACCAGACACCUGCCUGGUCAGGUCACGAGGGAAGAAACUGGGACCUGAAACUAGACCUACCCAUCAGAGAGGAUGGCUCAGUUGCAGGUGCUGGGAGAAUGUCCAGUCUGGCAAGCAGAACAAAGUAUCUGAAGAAUAUGGCAGAACACAAGGAUUGAUAAUGCAGCCAGGAAAUUGGUAUCAGGAGGCAAACAUGAAAGAGCAGAAGUUCACUCAAUACGAAACCACGGCUUGGUGCCAAGAAGCAGCUAAACGUGUCCCAAAUUCAGGCAGGCAGCAUCAGAAAGCCUUAUCUACCAUAGUAGAGCCACAGUCAGACUGUGGAACAGGAGCUGGACCCCGGUGGCUAAGAGAGAGAAAGAAUGGCAAACGUAAGGUUGGGUCUUAGGUGUUCUUAGAGGACCUGGGCAGACCUGGCAAACUUUUAAAACAGGAACUCAAUUCUGGGUAAUGGGAGAAGAAUGCGGGUAUGAGAACUGCAGCAUAAGGUAGAUACUGAAUCCAAGGAACGAGAGACAUACAUGACUCUAGAAAUUACAGCAAAAGCCAAAGGCAGACCGGAAGCCAAACUAGCUUGAUGCUAAGGAAGAAAAGUAUUGGAUUGGAACUCCUUAAAUGCCUCCUCUCCCAGGUAAAGCCUGGCCACAGGGAGCUUAGAAGGCUGAGUGAACAGGCUGAAGUCAUGGUGAGCAGAGAGGUCUGCAGAGACUGGAAACUAGGAAGGACUUGACAAUAACAAGAUCAGGAAAACCAGGCCCAUAGUUCCAAUUUUGUAAUCAAUAUAAUUACCCUGAAACUUUCUAAGCAACAAGUAGCAGCACUCUUAUUUAAAUCAAAUCUCGCACGUAUAAUUAAGAAAAUCCAUGUAUGUUUGUUUUAAUGAAUUUGACCUAUAGUAACAAGAUGGGUUAUUUUUGCUGCUCAGUCCACUGUCCACAGAAGAUGAAAAAUAAAAGUAACCCUUUUCCUAUUUUUCUCUCCUUUUCAUUAGUGUGUAAAUUUAACCUAUGAAAAUGAAUUGCCUUUCUGAAUUUCUUCUCAUCUCUGAAAUACAAAGAUGUCUCUCUCUAAAAAAACAGUAAAUACAUUUUUUAAGUUUUUGUCAUUCUUCUGAGAGCAACAUCUUCUAACAGGGCCCUAAAGCAUUGAACCCUAAUAAUAAAAAUGCAAUAUAAAAGUUAUUAAUGUAUUUAGCACACCACUAUGUGUUACUACCUGCCACAAAGUGACACUCACACACAAAAUGUCUGUCAUACCCAUGGCCCAAUUCACUUUGGAGAAGAAUCACCAAAUAGCCAUCCUUGGAAGUCAAGGAUCUCCUCUUUUGGUAUGAACACUCAUAAGAUGAAGACAGAGUAGUUUCAUAAGCCAAACAUGCCCAUUUCUGUUGUGACAGCCUACCCCUA
rnacentral:lncRNA from 10 species